UUUUUUACUUUCCUCCAUUUUUUGGGCAUGCUAAAUAUUCCCCCCAAAGAAUAUUUUAUCCCUCUUUAGAAUCACUUUACUCAUAGUUGCAGCCAAACAAAAAUUUUCCCUAGAAUGCUAAUUAAUUUCUUUCAGCAACUUAAACUCUUUCUGCGAUAAUUUCUUCGCCAUCGCUUUCUCCGGCGAGCUUGUUAUUCCUUUCUACUAUUAAAAUGAUUGGUCAUACGGUAUGAUGCUCAAAUAGCAAGUGGAGGAUUUCAAUACUACAAAGAAUUGCAAAAAUUGUUUAAGGGCUAUGCAUUUAGAAAUUUGUUAUUGGAGUUUUCAAUAGAAAUAGUUACAAUGAAAUUAGCUAUUUAGUUUAAACAUGUAAUGAUCUUUUAGUUCACUGAUUACAUUAGUACUUGCUUUUAUUUAUCUUGAAUUAAUGAAAUAUAUUUUUAUGAAUUAUAAUAA